rnacentral:rRNA from 1 species
GGGACAACAGUUGGAAACGACUGCUAAUACCGCAUGACGCAUAGAGGUCGCAUGAUCUUUAUGCCAAAGAUUUAUCGCUUCAAGAUGGCCUCGCGUCUGAUUAGCUGGUUGGCGGGGUAACGGCCCACCAAGGCGACGAUCAGUAGCCGGACUGAGAGGUUGAACGGCCACAUUGGGACUGAGAUACGGCCCAGACUCCUACGGGAGGCAGCAGUGGGGAAUAUUGGGCAAUGGGCGCAAGCCUGACCCAGCAACGCCGCGUGAAGGAAGAAGGCUUUCGGGUUGUAAACUUCUUUUAAGAGGGAAGAGCAGAAGACGGUACCUCUAGAAUAAGCCACGGCUAACUACGUGCCAGCAGCCGCGGUAAUACGUAGGUGGCAAGCGUUGUCCGGAUUUACUGGGUGUAAAGGGCGUGCAGCCGGGUCUGCAAGUCAGAUGUGAAAUCCAUGGGCUCAACCCAUGAACUGCAUUUGAAACUGUAGAUCUUGAGUGUCGGAGGGGCAAUCGGAAUUCCUAGUGUAGCGGUGAAAUGCGUAGAUAUUAGGAGGAACACCAGUGGCGAAGGCGGAUUGCUGGACGAUAACUGACGGUGAGGCGCGAAAGUGUGGGGAGCAAACAGGAUUAGAUACCCUGGUAGUCCACACUGUAAACGAUGAAUACUAGGUGUGCGGGGACUGACCCCCUGCGUGCCGCAG